rnacentral:tRNA from 1 species
CGGGACGUGGCGCAGCCUGGUAGCGCACUUGCAUGGGGUGCAAGGGGUCGGAGGUUCAAAUCCUCUCGUCCCGACCA